GGGUGGAUGGCGCAGUGGUAGCGCACUACACUGAUAAUGUAGGGGUCGAAGGUUCGAAUCCUUCUCCACCCA
rnacentral:tRNA from 1 species